rnacentral:rRNA from 2 species
AGAGUUUGAUCCUGGCUCAGAACGAACGCUGGCGGCAGGCUUAACACAUGCAAGUCGAACGCACCCCUUCGGGGGUGAGUGGCAGACGGGUGAGGAACGCGUGGGAACGUGCCCUUCGGUUCGGAAUAACCCAGGGAAACCUGGGCUAACACCGGAUGCGCCCGUCCUUCGGGACGGGGAAAGAGCGAUCGCCGAAGGAUCGGCCCGCGUCGGAUUAGCUGGACGGUGGGGUAACGGCCUACCGUGGCGACGAUCCGUAGCUGGUCUGAGAGGAUGAUCAGCCACACUGGGACUGAGACACGGCCCAGACUCCUACGGGAGGCAGCAGUGGGGAAUCUUGGUCAAUGGGGGAAACCCUGAACCAGCCAUGCCGCGUGAGUGAAGAAGGCCUUAGGGUUGUAAAGCUCUUUCAGCGGGGACGAUAAUGACGGUACCCGCAGAAGAAGCCCCGGCUAACUUCGUGCCAGCAGCCGCGGUAAUACGAAGGGGGCUAGCGUUGUUCGGAAUUACUGGGCGUAAAGCGCGCGUAGGCGGACGCUUAAGUCAGGGGUGAAAUCCCGGGGCUCAACCCCGGAACCGCCUUUGAUACUGAGGGUCUGGAGUCCGGAAGAGGUUGGUGGAAUUCCGAGUGUAGAGGUGAAAUUCGUAGAUAUUCGGAGGAACACCAGAGGCGAAGGCGGCCAACUGGUCCGGUACUGACGCUGAGGCGCGAAAGCGUGGGGAGCAAACAGGAUUAGAUACCCCGGUAGUCC